AAUCAACGCUGGCGGCGUGCCUAACACAUGCAAGUCGAACGCGAGAGGGGCUUCGGCCCCGAUUGAGUGGCGAACGGGUGAGUAACGCGUGGGUGACCUACCUUCGAGUGGGGGAUAACGUCCCGAAAGGGACGCUAAUACCGCAUAACAUCCUGCUUUUGAAUGGGUGGAGAUCAAAGCCGGGGAUCGCAAGACCUGGCGCUUGAUGAGGGGCCCGCGUCUGAUUAGCUAGNGGUGAGGUAACGGCCCACCAAGGCAACGAUCAGUAUCCGGCCUGAGAGGGCGGACGGACACACUGGGACUGAGACACGGCCCAGACUCCUACGGGAGGCAGCAGUGGGGAAUUGUUCGCAAUGGGCGCAAGCCUGACGACGCAACGCCGCGUGGAGGAUGAAGGUCUUCGGAUUGUAAACUCCUGUUGCCCGGGACGAAUGGCUCCGACCUAACACGUCGGAGUGUGACGGUACCGGGUGAGGAA
rnacentral:rRNA from 1 species